rnacentral:lncRNA from 1 species
ACCUUCUCAAGAGCUCACACAUCUCCCACAUCAGCGCUCGACGCGGUCUAAAGAGUAAGAAGAGAAGCUCAUCGUUGAGAAAAGCCGCGGGGGAACUUAUCUGAAGAUGAUUUGAAGAUCGGCUGCUCGGGAAUAUUGUGAUCCAUGAAUGAAGAUGGGGAGUAUUUCUGUCAAAACUGUAUGUAAAGGCACGGCGCUUCUGAUCUUUGUCAUUCUUCGGGGGUUGAAUACACAGACUGAUACAGAUAUCACAUCACUCCCUGUCACUUCAAACAUUUCUUCAACUGAGCUCGAAACAGAGUUUCCUCAAACACAUCCUACAAGUGAGUAUUAUUCAUGGAACGACUGCAUAACUUUUAG